AAAGUUCCCUUCGGGGAACAAGUAGAGUGGCGCACGGGUGAGUAACACGUAGGUAAUCUACCUUUGGAUUGGGAAUAACACCGAGAAAUCGGUGCUAAUACCGAAUAAUGCAGCGGCACCUGAUGGUGACAGUUGUUAAAGCGGGGGAUCGCAAGACCUCGCGUCUAAAGAGGAGCCUGCGGCGGAUUAGCUAGUUGGUAAGGUAACGGCUUACCAAGGCGAUGAUCCGUAGCCGGCCUGAGAGGGCGGUCGGCCACACUGACACUGACAUACGGGUCAGACUCCUACGGGAGGCAGCAGUCGGGAAUUUUGGGCAAUGGGCGAAAGCCUGACCCAGCAACGCCGCGUGAAGGAUGAAAUCCCUCGGGAUGUAAACUUCGCAAGAACGGGAAGAAUAAGUCGGUGCUAACACCAUCGGCGAUGACGGUACUGUUUGUAAGCUCCGGCUAACUCCGUGCCAGCAGCCGCGGUAAUACGGGGGGAGCAAGCGUUGUUCGGAUUUACUGGGCGUAAAGGGCGCGUAGGCGGCCACCGCAAGUCGACUGUGAAAUCUCCGGGCUUAACUCGGAAAGGUCAGCCGAUACUGCGGGGCUAGAGUGCAGAAGGGGCAACUGGAAUUCUCGGUGUAGCGGUGAAAUGCGUAGAUAUCGAGAGGAACACCUGCGGCGAAGGCGGGUUGCUGGGCUGACACUGACGCUGAUUGUGCGAAAGCUAGGGGAGCGAACGGGAUUAGAUACCCCGGUAGUCCUAGCCUUAAACGAUGAAUGCUUGGUGUCUGGGGUUUUAUAGUCCCCGGGUGCCGUCGCUAACGCUUUAAGCA
rnacentral:rRNA from 1 species